rnacentral:rRNA from 1 species
AGAGUUUGAUCCUGGCUCAGGAUGAACGCUAGCGACAGGCCUAACACAUGCAAGUCGAGGGGCAGCACAAGGAGCAAUCUGAGGUGGCGACCGGCGCACGGGUGAGUAACACGUAUGCAACCUGCCUGUAAGCGGGGAAUAACCCGUUGAAAGACGGACUAAUACCGCAUAAUACUAAAUUACUGCAUGGUAAUUUAUUUAAACAUUUAUGGCUUACAGAUGGGCAUGCGCAUGAUUAGCUAGUUGGAGAGGUAACGGCUCCCCAAGGCAACGAUCAUUAGGGGUUCUGAGAGGAAGGUCCCCCACACUGGUACUGAGACACGGACCAGACUCCUACGGGAGGCAGCAGUGAGGAAUAUUGGUCAAUGGACGAGAGUCUGAACCAGCCAAGUCGCGUGCAGGAAGAAUGUCCUAUGGAUUGUAAACUGCUUUUGCAGGGGAAUAAAGUGCAUCACGUGUGAUGUUUUGUAUGUACUCUGCGAAUAAGGAUCGGCUAACUCCGUGCCAGCAGCCGCGGUAAUACGGAGGAUCCGAGCGUUAUCCGGAUUUAUAGGGUUUAAAGGGUGCGCAGGCGGGGAAUUAGGUCGGCGGUGAAAUUUCGGGGCUCAACCUCGACAGUGCCGUUGAAACCGUUUCUCUUGAGUGCGGAUGAGGUAGGCGGAACUUGUGGUGUAGCGGUGAAAUGCGUAGAUAUCACAAGGAACACCGAUUGCGGAGGCAGCUUACUAAACCGUUACUGACGCUCAUGCACGAAGGCGUGGGGAUCAAACAGGAUUAGAUACCCUGGUAGUCCACGCAGUAAACGAUGAUUACUUGCUGUUUGCGAUACACAGUAAGCGGCGAAGCGAAAGCGUUAAGUAAUCCACCUGGGGAGUACGUUCGCAAGAAUGAAACUCAAUGAAUUGACGG